GUGCCUUUUGUAGAAUGAACCGGCGAGUUACGAUCUGAUGCAAGGUUAAGCAGUAAAUGUGGAGCCGUAGCGAAAGCGAGUCUGAAUAGGGCGUUGAGUAUUUGGUCGUAGACCCGAAACCAGGUGAUCUACCCUUGGUCAGGUUGAAGUUCAGGUAACACUGAAUGGAGGACCGAACCGACUUACGUUGAAAAGUGAGCGGAUGAACUGAGGGUAGCGGAGAAAUUCCAAUCGAACUUGGAGAUAGCUGGUUCUCUCCGAAAUAGCUUUAGGGCUAGCCUCAAGUGAUGAUUAUUGGAGGUAGAGCACUGUUUGGACGAGGGGCCCCUCUCGGGUUACCGAAUUCAGACAAACUCCGAAUGCCAAUUAAUUUAACUUGGGAGUCAGAACAUGGGUGAUAAGGUCCGUGUUCGAAAGGGAAACAGCCCAGACCACCAGCUAAGGUCCCAAAAUAUAUGUUAAGUGGAAAAGGAUGUGGCGUUGCCCAGACAACUAGGAUGUUGGCUUAGAAGCAGCCAUCAUUUAAAGAGUGCGUAAUAGCUCACUAGUCGAGUGACACUGCGCCGAAAAUGUACCGGGGCUAAACAUAUUACCGAAGCUGUGGAUUGUCCGUAGGACAAUGGUAGGAGAGCGUUCUAAGGGCGUUGAAGCAUGAUCGCAAGGACAUGUGGAGCGCUUAGAAGUGAGAAUGCCGGUGUGAGUAGCGAAAGACGGGUGAGAAUCCCGUCCACCGAUUGACUAAGGUUUCCAGAGGAAGGCUCGUCCGCUCUGGGUUAGUCGGGUCCUAAGCUGAGGCCGACAGGCGUAGGCGAUGGAUAACAGGUUGAUAUUCCUGUACCACCUAUAAUCGUUUUAAUCGAUGGGGGGACGCAGUAGGAUAGGCGAAGCGUACGAUUGGAUUGUACGUCUAAGCAGUGAGAUUGAGUGUUAGGCAAAUCCGGCACUCUUAAGAUUGAGCUGUGAUGGGGAGAGGAAAUUGUUUCCUCGAGUCGUUGAUUUCACACUGCCGAGAAAAGCCUCUAGAUAGAUAAUAGGUGCCCGUACCGCAAACCGACACAGGUAGUCAAGAUGAGAAUUCUAAGGUGAGCGAGCGAACUCUCGUUAAGGAACUCGGCAAAAUGACCCCGUAACUUCGGGAGAAGGGGUGCUCUUUAGGGUGCAAGCCCAGAAGAGCCGCAGUGAAUAGGCCCAAGCGACUGUUUAUCAAAAACACAGGUCUCUGCUAAACCGUAAGGUGAUGUAUAGGGGCUGACGCCUGCCCGGUGCUGGAAGGUUAAGAGGAGUGGUUAGCUUCUGCGAAGCUACGAAUCGAAGCCCCAGUAAACGGCGGCCGUAACUAUAACGGUCCUAAGGUAGCGAAAUUCCUUGUCGGGUAAGUUCCGACCCGCACGAAAGGCGUAACGAUUUGGGCACUGUCUCAACGAGAGACUCGGUGAAAUCAUAGUACCUGUGAAGAUGCAGGUUACCCGCGACAGGACGGAAAGACCCCGUGGAGCUUUACUGUAGCCUGAUAUUGAAAUUCGGCACAGCUUGUACAGGAUAGGUAGGAGCCUUUGAAACGUGAGCGCUAGCUUACGUGGAGGCGCUGGUGGGAUACUACCCUAGCUGUGUUGGCUUUCUAACCCGCACCACUUAUCGUGGUGGGAGACAGUGUCAGGCGGGCAGUUUGACUGGGGCGGUCGCCUCCUAAAAGGUAACGGAGGCGCUCAAAGGUUCCCUCAGAAUGGUUGGAAAUCAUUCAUAGAGUGUAAAGGCAUAAGGGAGCUUGACUGCGAGACCUACAAGUCGAGCAGGGUCGAAAGACGGACUUAGUGAUCCGGUGGUUCCGCAUGGAAGGGCCAUCGCUCAACGGAUAAAAGCUACCCCGGGGAUAACAGGCUUAUCUCCCCCAAGAGUUCACAUCGACGGGGAGGUUUGGCACCUCGAUGUCGGCUCAUCGCAUCCUGGGGCUGUAGUCGGUCCCAAGGGUUGGGCUGUUCGCCCAUUAAAGCGGUACGCGAGCUGGGUUCAGAACGUCGUGAGACAGUUCGGUCCCUAUCCGUCGUGGGCGUAGGAAAUUUGAGAGGAGCUGUCCUUAGUACGAGAGGACCGGGAUGGACAUACCUCUGGUGUACCAGUUGUCGUGCCAACGGCAUAGCUGGGUAGCUAUGUGUGGACGGGAUAAGUGCUGAAAGCAUCUAAGCAUGAAGCCCCCCUCAAGAUGAGAUUUCCCAACUUCGGUUAUAAGAUCCCUCAAAGAUGAUGAGGUUAAUAGGUUCGAGGUGGAAGCAUGGUGACAUGUGGAGCUGACGAAUACUAAUCGAUCGAAGACUUAAUCAA
rnacentral:rRNA from 1 species